rnacentral:tRNA from 1 species
UGGAAAAUAGUAUAAAAAGAAUAUCUCAUUUACACUGAGAAGGUAAUCAGAAGAUUUUUUCCUU